CUUCAUUUUCUUAAAAACCCUAGCAGCAAUUCUUGAUUCCUCUUUUCACUGUCACCGUUCACCUAUUUUACCAUCGUUCUUCAUCAAGGCAGGUUCGCCGGCUAUCCCCCACGACCCCAUCGUAAUUCUGUUCGUAGUCAUCGUCGUUGGAGCGGGUUAUCAUGAAACCUACGAGCUUUAACUCACAAUACCGCCCCUAGCACCGCCAUGUUCGAUUGCUUAUGGUCGUGGGUGGUCAGGAUUUUAUCGGGGAAGGCUCAGUUGGCCUGGGUCGCGGUCGACAACUUGGUUUGGUUGGGGAACCCUCUUCGUCGGUUCCUUUUGGGGUGUUGCCGCCAUUGCCGUGUGGUGGACGGCCGUUUAAGGUUAUGGUAAGGCUGGCCGUGACAUCCCCGACCCAGGAGACUACUACCGAUAAAGUUUCGUUGCUGAAAGCCUUGUUUAAGUGAAAUUAUGAACCGAGAACUGAGUAACCGUCUCCUCCUUCAUUGACCACAAACUUCGAACCGAACCGUAUAGCUCGUGUCAACCGCACUGAUUCGGAUCGAUCUACAGCUCAAGCUAACGGUGGUAGAGGUUAUUACCGUCUCAAGCUAUCUCUCGAGGUUGGAAUUAUGAGAUGUUCGUACAAAAUAUAUGAUUGCAUGAAAAUAUCAUGAAUCGGAUUACAUGCUACGUAAUAAAUAUAUACUUUAGAAUUAAUAUAUGCCUUGGAAAUAUUUGUUAGCCGGUUCGAAACAGACAUUAGAUAUUAUGUCAUUUUGCAUAUCAUAUUAGGAAGAAUAUUGAUUGGGGAAGUUCAGUGCAUUCACUCAAUGGGGUGAAUGGCACUUUUUCAGAUUCAGUGGCCUCUACCUUUGUGGCAUACCCCUUAUAUGGUGUAUGAGUUGGAAUUAGUGUUGUUCUGGGGAACCCACUCUUCUAGGUGUGAUAGGAG